rfam:Morus notabilis contig25350, whole genome shotgun sequence.
CACUGGAUGCAGCGGUUCAUCGAUCCCUUCCUGAGAUUUGUUGUGAAAAAUCCACAAAACAUGAAUCGGUCGAUAAACCUCUGCAUCCAGC